rnacentral:rRNA from 2 species
UACGAAUCGUCCAAACGUUGUUCGGAUUCACUGGGUUUAAAGGGCGCGUAGGCGGUGCGUUAAGUCGGCGGUGAAAUACUUCGGCUCAACCGGAGAAUUGCCGCUGAAACUGGCGUGCUCGAGGGAGGUAGAGGUGCGUGGAACUUCCGGUGGAGCGGUGAAAUGCGUUGAUAUCGGAAGGAACACCUGUGGCGAAAGCGAUGCACUGGACCUCUUCUGACGCUGAGGCGCGAAAGCCAGGGGAGCGAACGGG